rnacentral:lncRNA from 1 species
AAUCUAAAGAAGAAAACUACAAAAUUCUGAUGAAAGAAAUAAAAGAAAAACAGAGAUAUUUCAUGUUCACGGGCCUGGAUCCUGGAAGUCGGAGAUCAGAGUGCCAGCAGCACCCGGUUCUGGUGAGAACCGCCUUCUGUGCUACAGACUGCUGAUCCUCAUUACAUCCUCUCCUGGCAGAGAGCAGAGAAAAGACAGAAGCUCUCUCAUGACUCUUGUAAGGGCACUAAUUCCACUCCUGAGGGCUCCAUGCUUAUGCUCUCACCUAUUUCUAAUUACCUCCCAAAGACCCCCACCUCCUAAGCUCAUCAUAUCAGGGCAUAGGGUUUUGACAUACAAAUUUGGGGAGGACACAAAUAUUCAGUCCAUAACGAUGUCUUGAAGAGAAGAAAGUUCUACAAAAAGGCAAACUCUGAUUCAAUGCUCCUAUUAAAAAGCAGGUUCCUUUUUAAACCUACCAGUUACCCGAAACCUUACAUCCAUUCAAUAAAUACCCAUUAAUGCCUACUACAUAGUAAGGAAUAUUCAGGCACCAGAAGCACAGGUGUGAACAAGCCUGGCUUUACUUUCAAGAAGUUUACAGACCAGUGAGAGAAAGUGCUACAGUUACGCAAAAGGGGAGGGGGAGUACACGGAAGGCAGUUCUCAACAGAGUUGGGAGUGGGGAGGGGUCAGGAGCAACCCCCCCAGAAAGCCAUAGGGGGAGAAUGUGAAAAGGUAAGGGAGUAAGAGAACACAGGAUUUGGGGGAACUGAGGAACAUUCAGGAUGAGUGGAGUGCAGAUCUCUCCAAGUCAAGGGGUGAGAAUGCUGAGACUGCGGGGCGAGGGAAGCACAGCCUUCCCAAAGGCAUAGGGCUCCUCUAGGAGGAGCGUGGUCUUAUUUGGAUGACAAUCAGGGGCCACUGAAAGUUUUUAAGCAAGAGAGUAACAUGAUUUGAUUUUCAUUCUAGAAAGAUGAUUCUGGCUACUACUUAAAGAAUUGAGGAGGAGCAAGGCUGAGAGUGUGCAAUGACUGGCAGUAUAGAAAACUAUCAGUAUAAUUCAUGGCAGCAAUGGCAGUGGCCUAAAGUAAGAGAGCAUAAGUAACUUUGAAGUUCAUAUAAACCCCACAAGUGAAUCCCAUGUUUUCAUAAUAGCAGUUUUAAGUUGCUGAAAUGAAAAUUGACCAUUGUUGUCAUUUCCUGACUGAGACAGAGUAUUGUUGACACUGUCUUGUGCUGUUGCGGAGUUCGCCCCAUUGCUGCUGAGAAAUCCUCCCAGGAAGCUUCUUAAACCCACAGCUUUAGACCAAUAUACGGGCAUGGCCCAUAUCAACUUUUUCAUGGGAGCUGGGCAUUAUCUAACAGAGAACACUGCUCCGUGGGUGUCCUGGAGCAUAACCAGGAUUGACAACCCAAACACAGCCGGUGUUAGUUGGGCUGGCCUCACAUAGUAGAGGGAGAAGA